rnacentral:rRNA from 1 species
UACGAGAGGCCCAAACGUUAUUCGGAAUUACUGGGCUUAAAGAGUUCGUAGGCGGCAUUGCAAGUAGGGUGUGAAAGCCCUCGACUCACCGAGGAAUUGCGCUCUAAACUGCAGUGCUUGAGGAAGCUAGAGGUGAGCAGAACAGAGUGGUGGAGCGGUGAAAUGCGUUGAUAAUCAUCCUGGAAUACCGGAGGCGAAGGCGGCUCCAGC